rnacentral:tRNA from 1 species
GAAGGGAUAGCUCUGUGGUAGAGCAUUCUACUGCAGGUCGAAUGGUUCCCGGUUCAAACCCGGGAGUUUUCUUUUCA